GGUAAUGGGCCUACCAAGCCAUCGAUGGAUAGGGGAACUGAGAGGUUUAUCCCCCACACUGGUACUGAGACACGGACCAGACUCCUACGGGAGGCAGCAGUGAGGAAUAUUGGUCAAUGGUCGAGAGACUGAACCAGCCAAAUCGCGUGAAGGACGACGGUAUUAUGUAUUGUAAACUUCUUUUAUAAGGGAAUAAAGUUAGGGACGUGUCCUUAUUUGUAUGUACCUUAUGAAUAAGCAUCGGCUAACUCCGUGCCAGCAGCCGCGGUAAUACGGAGGAUGCGAGCGUUAUCCGGAUUUAUUGGGUUUAAAGGGUGCGUAGGUGGAAAGGUCAGUCAGCGGUGAAAUCCAGGAGCUCAACUCCUGAACUGCCGUUGAAACUUCCUUUCUUGAGUGUGAACGAGGUAGGCGGAAUUCGUAGUGUAGCGGUGAAAUGCAUAGAUAUUACGAAGAACUCCGAUAGCGCAGGCAGCUUACCAGGCCACAACUGACACUGAAGCACGAAAGUGUGGGUAUCAAACAGGAUUAGAUACCCUGGUAGUCCACACAGUAAACGAUGAAUACUAACUGUUUGCGAUAUACAGUAAGCGGUACAGCGAAAGCGUUAAGUAUUCCACCUGGGGAGUACGCCGGCAACGGUGAAACUCAAAGGAAUUGACGGGGGCCCGCACAAGCGGAGGAACAUGUGGUUUAAUUCGAUGCAACGCG
rnacentral:rRNA from 1 species